GGUGGGUAGCCGCACGAGCGCACCCUUAUCCUUAGUUGCCAGCACGUUAAUGGUGGGAACUCUAAGGAGACUGCCGGUGACAAACCGGAGGAAGGUGGGGACGACGUCAAGUCAUCAUGGCCCUUACGAGAUGGGCUACACACGUGCUACAAUGGCAAGUACAAAGGGUUGCAAACUCGCGAGAGUAAGCGGAUCCCAUAAAGCUUGUCGUAGUCCGGAUUGGAGUCUGCAACUCGACUCCAUGAAGUCGGAAUCGCUAGUAAUCGUGGAUCAGAAUGCCACGGUGAAUACGUUCCCGGGCCUUGUACACACCGCCCGUCACACCAUGGGAGUGGGCUGCAAAAGAAGUGGAUAGCUUAACCUUCGGGAGGGCGUUCACCACUUUGUGGUUCAUGACUGGGGUGAAGUCGUAACAAGGUAGCCGUAGGGGAACCUGCGGCUGGAUCACCUCCUU
rnacentral:rRNA from 1 species